rnacentral:rRNA from 1 species
GAUGAACGCUGGCGGCGUGCCUAAUACAUGCAAGUCGAGCGAACAGACGAGGAGCUUGCUCCUCUGACGUUAGCGGCGGACGGGUGAGUAACACGUGUAUAACCUACCUAUAAGACUGGGAUAACUUCGGGAAACCGGAGCCAAUACCGGAUAAUAUAUUGAACCGCAUGGUUCAAUAGUGAAAGACGGUUUUGCUGUCACUUAUAGAUGGAUCCGCGCCGCAUUAGAUAGUUGGUAAGGUAACGGCUUACCAAGGCAACGAUGCGUAGCCGACCUGAGAGGGUGAUCGGCCACACUGGAACGGAGACACGGUCAAGACUCCUACGGGAGGCAGCAGUAGGGAAUCUUCUGCAAUGGGCGAAAGCCUGACGGAGCAACGCCGCGUGAGUGAUGACGGUCUUCGGAUCGUAAAACUCUGUUAUUAGGGAAGAACAAAUGUGUAAGUAACUAUGCACGUCUUGACGGUACCUAAUCAGAAAGCAACGGCUAACUACGUG